UUUGUGUGCCUGCGUAAUCAGUAACUCAUUAACUAUUGCGAAAAUUGCAAAACCGUAAAGGAUUUUUCUGUUCAGAUUAAUGCGCUCUAUCUGCUUGUAAAUGUUGUCUGCAGUUUUACACGACACUCAUAUAUGUAACCUAUUAAAGAAUAUAUUAGUAUAUGUAACACUACAAUAUUAUUUGGUUCCUGUAGAUUUUUUAUCUUUCUCUUCUUUCAAAUUGCCAUUUGAAGCGCGAAGAAAACGAGAAGUGUAAAUUACCAAAUCUGGUAUUAAAACAUAUGGGCGAUCGUUGGAGUGGACCGCACCGAAAACGGCCGGCAUUGACGAGAUCGAGCCGAGAAUGCGCGGACGGAGCGGGAAAAGGAGUCAGAAAAAAAUGCUAUGCGCUAUUUUGAAUUUCGGAAAGCCUGCGCCUCCGUGAUCUGCGUUGAUGUUGCGAGUCGUAAACGUCCGCGGGGCGCCGGAACGACGACGGGGCCGCUUUUAUCGCCGCAGCACGGAGAGACGCGCAGUGCUCGAACGGACACGCUCGGAAUCGAUUUUCCGACGGUGGUGGUUCUACCGUCGACCGCUCGCGGGCUUACCGCGCGUUACGUUUACUCCACCUUUCGCGGGAGAACUCCCGCGAUUCCUCCCGCCGGAGCUACUGCUCCGUUACCUCGGUAGAUAUCGUCGUGAUUACGCGACGACGAUUUCGCGUCGUCGGUAUGACAUCAGGAUUGCAUUCGUACCUUGGUUCUCAGCGGCAAGCCCGUGAUCGAAGAUAUCGGGAUUCCGAGCCGUGGACCGUGGUUGCGAAUUAACGAGCGGAAGUAUAAGCGAAGCGGGGACGGCGAGAACAACGGCGACAACGGUGGCGGUGCCAACGGUGGCGAGGGUGAAGAGGGUGUGAGACAACGAGAGGGUGAAUCGGCAGAGCGACAGAGCGAACAAGAAUGACGGGCGAGGACGGAAAACGCAGUGGCGACACCGGCGACGUUACCACCGAGACGAACAUGAACACGAACGUCACCGACAACGCGAAUAACGUUAACGCUAAUGUUAACGCCAACAUAAACGUCAGCCAGCAGAACGGCGAACCGGAAAAGGCUCCCGUAGUCGGCGGUACCAACGUGGAAACGCUACCACGGGCCGGAAAACAGAGUGAUCCUAGUACUGCAUUUUUGCGGGCAGCUCGUGCUGGACAACUCGAGAAAGUCUUGGAAUACUUGGAAUCCGGAGUAGAUAUUAACGCUUCUAAUGCCAAUGGCUUAAACGCUUUGCAUCUGGCAGCUAAGGACGGCCACUUGGAAAUCGUGAGAAAACUCCUAAAUCGCGGCGCAAUUGUGGACGCCGCUACCAAAAAGGGAAACACGGCAUUACACAUAGCUUCGCUUGCUGGACAAGAGGAGGUUGUACAAUUGCUGGUAGCACGAGGUGCUUCUGUAAACGCACAAUCGCAAAAUGGGUUCACGCCUCUGUACAUGGCUGCUCAGGAGAACCACGACUCGGUGGUCAAGUUCCUCCUCAGCAAGGGUGCAAAUCAAACAUUGGCCACCGAGGACGGUUUCACUCCAUUGGCGGUGGCUAUGCAACAAGGUCACGACAAGGUAGUAGCCGUUCUAUUAGAAAAUGACACACGUGGUAAAGUUCGACUGCCUGCUCUACACAUCGCCGCUAAGAAAGACGACUGCAAGGCGGCUACUCUACUUUUACUAAAUGAUCAUAAUCCCGAUGUAACAUCGAAAAGCGGUUUUACGCCGCUUCACAUAGCCGCACAUUAUGGCAACGACCGAAUCGCUUCCUUGCUUUAUGAGAAAGGCGCAGAUAUUAAUUUUGCGGCAAAGCACAAUAUCACACCAAUGCACGUGGCGGCGAAAUGGGGUAAGAUUAAGAUGGUUAAUCUCCUCAUGAGCAAGGGAGCAAACAUCGAAGCGAAAACGAGAGAUGGUCUAACUCCUCUGCACUGCGCGGCCAGGUCCGGCCAUCACGAAGUAGUUGACAUUCUCAUCGAAAAGGGGGCACCCAUUGGCUCAAAAACGAAGAAUGGUCUUGCCCCGUUACACAUGGCUUCUCAAGGGGAUCACGUUGACGCCGCGAGAAUUUUGUUAUAUCACCGUGCACCCGUGGACGAAGUCACGGUGGACUAUUUGACUGCGCUACAUGUGGCUGCGCACUGCGGCCACGUACGCGUAGCCAAGCUACUUCUUGAUAGAAACGCCGAUCCCAACGCGCGAGCGCUCAAUGGAUUUACCCCUCUUCAUAUCGCGUGCAAGAAGAAUCGUAUUAAGGUCGUCGAACUCCUCCUAAAGCACAAAGCAAGCAUCGAAGCUACGACUGAGUCCGGAUUAACUCCAUUGCAUGUAGCGAGUUUUAUGGGAUGUAUGAAUAUCGUGAUUUACUUAUUGCAACACGAAGCUAGUCCCGAUAUACCGACAGUGAGAGGCGAAACGCCGUUACACUUAGCUGCCAGGGCGCACCAAACUGAUAUUAUUAGGAUACUUCUUAGAAACGGUGCCCAAGUCGAUGCUAGAGCAAGAGAGGAACAGACACCGCUUCAUGUCGCUUCUCGCCUAGGUAACGUCGAUAUUGUGAUGUUAUUGCUGCAGCAUGGUGCGGGCGUAGAUGCUACAACGAAAGAUUUAUAUACACCGCUUCAUAUCGCUGCUAAAGAAGGCCAAGAGGAGGUUGCAUCCGUUUUAUUAGAAAAUAACGCCUCGCUUACCGCAACGACCAAGAAAGGAUUUACUCCCUUGCAUUUAGCGGCCAAGUACGGCAAUAUGAACGUAGCCCGAUUGUUACUACAAAAGAAUGCGCCUGUUGACGCUCAAGGAAAGAACGGAGUAACGCCUCUUCAUGUGGCCUCUCAUUACGAUCAUCAAAACGUGGCUUUACUUUUACUUGAUAAAGGAGCUUCGCCACAUGCCAUGGCUAAAAAUGGCCACACACCAUUGCAUAUCGCUGCACGCAAAAAUCAGAUGGACAUUGCAACUACUUUGCUAGAAUACGGAGCGAAAGCUAAUGCAGAAUCAAAGGCUGGUUUUACGCCGUUACAUUUGAGCGCACAAGAAGGCCACACUGAUAUGUCAACCCUUCUUAUCGAGCAUAAAGCAGACACAAAUCACAAAGCGAAGAAUGGUCUUACGCCCCUACAUUUAUGCGCACAAGAAGAUAAAGUGAACGUCGCUUGCAUUCUUGUGAAGAAUGGUGCUCAGAUCGAUGCUAAAACUAAGGCUGGAUACACGCCAUUACAUAUGGCGUCUCACUUUGGUCAGGGAGCUAUGGUACGAUUCCUUCUAAGAUCUGGUGCUGCCGUUGACAGCAGCACCAAUGCUGGCUACACUCCUCUCCAUCAAGCUGCGCAACAAGGACACACGCUCGUUAUUAAUCUGUUAUUGGAAAGUAAAGCUAAACCGAAUGCUGUAACUAACAAUGGACAGACUGCUCUGGAUAUUGCACAAAAACUCGGCUACAUAAGUGUCAUUGAAACGCUGAAAGUUGUAACAGAGACUGUCAUCACAACAACUCACACCGUCACCAUUGAAGAAAAAUACAGAGUUCAGGCACCCGAAUCCAUGCAAGAGACAUUUAUGAGUGACAGCGAGGACGAGGGCGGUGGUGAUGAAAUCGGCACGGCAGCCAUGAAUGUGUACGGGCAGCCUCCGCACGCGCAACACGUGUACCUUCCUUCUUACUACCAGGGCCAAAUGACCUAUACCCGUGAAGAUCCAAUGCUCAGCGACCAACAGCAGUAUCGAUACAUGACUGUUGACGACAUGAAGUCCAUGGGGGAUGACUCGAUGCGCGUGAACGUGACGGACGACGAGAGAGAUAAUCGACAUUCCGGAGCGCCAACCAUAACAGAGAUGAUUACGAAAGAACAUUAUCAACGUACAAACGCAGCCAAUCUUAAACCAGACAAUGUAGACAUCAAUAGGCAUCCUGUGCAUGUCGGCAGAAUUCCACAGUGGAGAAAUUUCCUGGUUUCCUUCUUGGUGGAUGCGAGAGGUGGUGCGAUGCGCGGAUGCAGACACAGUGGCGUCCGCGUGAUUGUUCCACCGCGUAAGGCUGCGAUGCCAAUGCGCGUCACAUGCAGAUAUCUGAGGAGAGACAAAUUGACCAACCCACCGCCCUUGAUGGAGGGAGAAGCGUUGGCCAGCCGAAUCCUUGAAUUGGGUCCUGUGGGUGCAAAAUUUCUGGGUCCCGUUAUCAUAGAGGUGCCACAUUUCGCGUCACUGCGCGGAAAGGAACGGGAAAUAGUGAUUCUACGAUCAGACAACGGAGAGACUUGGCGUGAGCACACUUUGGAAGCCAGCGAGGAGGCUGUCCAGGAUGUGCUUAAUGAGAGCUUUGAGGGAGAAGAGUUAAGCCAGCUAGAGGAUCUCCAGACGUCUCGUAUCGUUAGGAUACUCACUGUAGAUUUCCCACAUUAUUUCGCGGUGGUAUCUCGCAUUCGGCAAGAAGUCCACGCGGUUGGUCCCGAAGGCGGCACCGUGUCGUCAUCCGCUGUACCACAAGUACAAGCUGUCUUCCCACAAGCGGCCCUUACUAAGAAGAUCAGAGUCGGUCUGCAGGCACAUCCUAUACCAGCGGAUCUCGUGGCUAAGUUACUCGGAAACAGAGUGGCCGUGUCACCGAUCGUUACCGUCGAACCAAGACGAAGGAAGUUCCAUAAGCCGAUAACUUUAACUAUUCCAGUACCACAGGCGGCGAAUAAAGGCAUGAUCAACCAGUAUUCCGGGGAUGCGCCGACUCUGAGACUCCUGUGCAGCAUAACUGGAUUGAGUCAUUUAGGGGGUCAGACUCGGGCAGUCUGGGAGGACGUCACAGGCUCGACGCCGUUGACUUUUGUGAAAGAUUGCGUUUCGUUCACCACCACAGUUUCCGCCCGCUUCUGGUUGAUGGACUGCCGUAAUAUUUCCGAGGCCACAAAAAUGGCCACGGAACUUUACACGCAUGCAACACAUGUGCCCUUCAUGGCUAAAUUUGUAGUAUUUGCGAAACGGGUAGAUCCAUUGGAAGCGAGACUGCGUGUAUUCUGUAUGACGGACGACAAAGAGGAUAAGACUUUAGAGCAUCAGGAACAUUUUACAGAAGUCGCAAAGAGUAGAGACGUUGAGGUUCUCGAAGGAAAAACGCAAUAUAUGGAAUUUUCUGGAAAUCUUGUACCCGUUCUGAAAACGGGUGAACAGCUACAAUUGCCAUUCAGAGCUUUCAAGGAAAAUAGGGUCCCGUUCACCGCGAGAAUAAAGGAUCCGGAUGCCGCAGAUAUGAUGGGUCGAAUCAUGUUUAUGAGUGAACCUAAGGUUCCGAGAGGUGAAUUGCCGCAGACGCCGAUCUGCACGCUAAAUAUUUUGCUGCCGGAGAAGAUUUCUCCAGAUACCGCAGUCUCCGAACUGGAUUUGUUGGAAUUGUCAAAGAACUACAGCUUCUUACGCGAUGGCGGAAUAAGUAGACCAGAUGCUAUACACAGAGCAACUAUCCGUCUAACAGACAUUGCUAAUCUAUUGGAUAAGGAUUGGGAGCCACUAGCAGAAGAGUUGAAUAUCUCACCCAACGACGUGGCCCUGAUAAAACAAGAAUACUCUGACAAACCCGCACAACAAGCUGCCGCCAUGUUCAAAAUCUGGCAGAACAGUGGAAACAAAGCUACAGGAAACACGUUAGAAAAGGCUCUCAAUAAAAUUGGACGAGAAGAUAUAGUGAACAAAUGUAUCUUCAAUGUUGAGUUAGUCACAGACGACGUUGAAAAAGCUGUGGCGAGAGUAAGACUGGAUCAGCCGGGAUUUGAUUCGCUAAAGGAAGAAUUAGGGCCGUCGAGAAACACGUCACUUCGCCGUGAUGCAACUAUGGAUCCUAAGAUGGACCCUGAUUAUGAAGAGCCUGAUAGAAUGAAGGAUUCUGAAUCGAUCGAGGAUCUCAGUAUCACACGCGAUAAACCCAAAGAGCACAUCACAAUCACAAACGGCACUGUAUUCAACGGAACCUCGACCCCCAUCAAAGACAAAUACGCGAGCGACGAGAAAGAGCUCGGCGACAUGAUGGCUGAUUACCUUGAGCACAAAUGCCACACGACCGACACGAUGAGCAAAAAGUCGCGCGACGAACUGGAUGAUCCGGAGAAAAUACGCCAGAAAGCGAUCGCCGAUGCCAACAAGAUAGUCUCUGGUGUAAUAGCAGACGCAGAGAAAGAGAAGGGGAAGUUAGCGAAGGAAGGGUGGUCGGUGGUUUAUGAUGAUGAUGAUGCGCGGGACAAUAAAGAGGCGCGGGGUGCGAUAGGGCAGACUGUAAUUAACGUUCCCUUAGAUCAGGCGGCCGCUGAGCCGAAGGGUUUCAUUCCCAAAUCAGAGCAAAUCCCUAGUAUUGAACCGCCGAUGGUUAAGCAGCAUCGCGCUGAGACACCAGAUCCCAAAGUUAGCACUUCAAAAACAGUAGUUUCUGUUAGUGGCGAUCCGAAAGUAGGACAGACCGUAAUUACUAAGACUACACUAAUAAAACAGACGCCGACUAAAACCGUGACUACGAAAGAAAUGGUAAUUGUUUCCUCUGAUAAGAAAGACGUUGUUAGCGAAAAAGAAAAAUUAUCUAAGGAGGGUAAGGAAGUCGACGAAAAAUUGAUUCAGGGCGCAGUUUCUACGGGCGUUACACAAAAGACAGCAAAGGCUGAAACUGUAAAAGUCCGUGAUCAGAAAAAACCAGAAGCAAAAGCUCUUUUAGGCAAAGACAAAGAUAAGAAAAAAGAUAAGGAUAAGGAGAAGGAAAAAGACAAAGGCAAGGAGAAGGAGAAAGAUAAAGAUAAGGAGAAUGAGAAGGAUACAGACAAGGAGAAAGAGAAGGAUAAAGACAAAGACAAGGAUAUGGAGAAGGAUAAAGAUAUUAUUAUGAAGACUGCGAAAACAUCGGCUUAUGAAGACGUUUAUAAUGUGCAGCAUUCGGCAGACAGCACAGAAGAAAAAUCAGACGAAGAGACGAAGAAAACGAAGGAUAAAAGCGGCGGAAUAUUUUCGGGAAUUUUCAAAGGUUCCAAAUUGAAGAGAAGCAAAAAAGGUUCGAAGGAUACAUCUUUUGACAGUGGCGACGAGGAAUCGAAGGCUGUCUUAACAAAAGUCUCAGAACGGCAACUGGAACUUCUUUCUAGCGAAGUGACCGACUCGUAUUUUGAUAGUAAGCUACCGGAAAUUACAACCGCAUCCGAUGUAAGAUUGGCUACCGUGGAAUUUUUAGAGGAUUCUAGACGAAUCGCUGCAGGUAUGCAUGCACCUUAUGAAGGUUUUGCUAAACCAGCGGAAAAAGAAGACAAGAAACCAGAGGUUGCCGAGAGCGAUGAUGAUGGCAAGGACAAGACGGGUUUCUUCUCGAACUUGUUUAAAAGUAAGUCUAAAAAGGACGAAGACGCUUUACCUGUUAUUCACGUCGAAAAACCUAAAGAAAGUACAGAGCAAAUUGCGAAGAAAGAAAAGAAGAAGCUAGCAGCAAUUGCGAAAGAAAACGAAGAUCUACUGGACCUACAAAUGAAGGAAAAUGAGAAAGAAGCUGAAGCAUCUAAGAUUGUUGACGCAUCUAGUACAAUCGAAAAAGAAGCGGAGAAAACUGUAAAGACCGGCGCGAAAGUCGUCGAAGAUACUAAAAGCAAAGCACCCGAACAGAUCAUUGCUUCAACGAAUGAACAGCUACCCAGUAAAGAUGAUGAAAAAGAAGAUCAGAUAAAAGAAAAGAGUGGGUUCUUCGGCAUUUUCAGAAGUCCAAAGUCCAAGGAUAAGAAGCUCGUCAAAUCGAAGGAAACAUCCUUCGACAGCGGCGACGAAGAAAUUAAAACUAUAACGGAGAAGCUUUUAGAAGACACGCGGAAAGUUGCUGAUGUUAGUGUGUUACCAAUCGCAUAUAAAAGUGAUGGCACAAAAGUUAUUCCCAAAGAAGAAAUACGCACUUUUAUAUCAACCGCUCAAUACGAUAUUGAUACUCCCGCGGACAAAAUUGGUAAGUCCUACGAUGUUAUUCAAACAAUAAAGGCCGAGAAAAUUAUCCAUGAAGAGAUAAAUGGGACAACGGACAUCGAUAAAGAGAAAGUUCAGAAAAAGGAAAAAAAGGAUGUCGAAAAACCCGCUGGAGAAGUAAAAUCAGAAAUCCGAGAAGAGAAAGUACCCGAGAUGGAAAAAGACAUAGGCGAUGACAUGAAAGAAAAAAGCGGUGGUUUCUUCGGCAUAUUUAAAAGCCCCAAACUUAAGAGCAAAAAGAGAAGUAGAUCACGAGAACAAAGUUCUUCAAAAGAGACCUCUUUCGAUAGCGGAGAUGAGGAAGUUCGACUGGCAACGGCGAAACUUUUAGAGGACACAAGACAAAUGGCAGAAAACCUACAUCAAACUGAAGAAAAAAUAUUGAAGAGUAAAAGUCCACCUAUAGAUGAAGAAAUAAAAAAAUCUAUUAUUCCCGAGGAUGAAACUGUUGAAAAAGAUAAGGGAAGCGGCAUUUUCGGUAUAUUUAGAAGUCCCAAACAAGCGAGGAAUUCCAGAUCCAGGAGUAGAUCUAAGGAGAAGACACCGUCACUCGAACUGCCAGAUAGUGGCCACGAUGAUUUACGAGAAAUAACUGCAAAAUUUUUAGAGGAUUCACGAAAUAUGGCGAAUAUCACAAGCGAAUUACCUGAUUUGAAAGAUAAAGUUCCUAAAGAUGAUGAAUUAACAAUGGAGACAAAAAAAGUUGAUCAACAAAUUAUAACUCAUACAGAAGAUGUUGAUAAAGUCAACAAAGAUGGCAAAGACACAAUUGUUAAAAAAGUAGAGGACAAAACACGUGAUAUUGCCGACACCAUUGAAACGUCAAAAGACAAGACAGUUAAGGAAGUAAAGAAAGUGAAAGAAAAAGGAUCAGGACUCCUAUCAGGAAUAUUCAAAAGUGCAAAGCAUGUCGUGGAAGAAGCAUCCGAUGACGUAAAAGAAUUCAUGGAAGAUACGAAAAAAGAAGCUGAAUUAGAAGAAGAACGUGUCAAAGAAAAAUUCACUACGAAUCUAAAAGAUCUGAAAGAUAAAAAAGACAUUGUCGUUGGUGAAGUUCAAGAAACUGUAGACAAAGCAUUCGAUGAAGCAAAAGAUGUAAAAGAUAAAACAAUUUCUACAAUAAAAGAUAAAAAGGAUAAAGGUGUCGAAGAAAUUUCAAAAGAUACGCAAAAAAUUGCCGACGCGAAGAAAGCAGCCGACGAAAAAUUGACAAAAGAAACAAAGAAAAUUGGAGAAAAAAUAGGAGCAACUACAACAGAUAUCGCACAAGCAGUCAAGGAUACUAAAGACGCAGCAGAAAAAGAAGUAAAGGAAGAUACAAAAUUAAUAAAAGAAAAAUUGACAGUGGGUAGUGAAGCAGCUGCGGAAAUUGCGGACAGUGCGAAGGAAAAAGCGACGAAAGAAACACAGAAAGCUAAAGAAAAAACAAGUUUUUUCUCCGGCAUUUUUAAAGGUGCAAAACACGCCGUAGAAGAUGCAGCUGACGAUGUUAAAGGAUUUAUAGACGAAACAAAGAAAGAAGCUCAGGUAGAAGAAGAACGAGCCAAAGAAAAAAUUUCUGCGGUAUCGAAGGACUUAAAAGAUAAAAAAGAUGCAACGGUAACAAAAGUAAAGGACGCUGUAGAUCAAGCCGCAGCUGACACGAAACAUGCAAAGGAUAAAGUUGUUGAAGAAGUUUCCAAAGAUGCACGAAAAGUUGUUGAUGCUACAAACGCAGCCGAUGAAAAAAUAACAACAGAAACAAAGAAAGUUGGAGAAAAAAUAGAAGAAACCGCGAAAGAUAUUGCACAAGAUGCCAAGGAUACUAAAGAUGCAGCAGCUAAAGAAGUAAAAGAAGGUACAAAAUUAGUGAAAGAAAAACUAGCAGAAGGUGCUGAAGCAACUGCAGAAGCGACGGACGGUGCAAAGGACAAAGCAACAAAAGAAGCGAAGAAAGCUAAGGAAAAAACAACAGGUUUCUUCUCCGGCAUUUUUAAAGGUGCAAAACACGCUGUAGAAGAUGCAACUGACGACGUUAAAGGAUUUAUAGACGAGACAAAGAAAGAAGCUCAAUUAGAAGAAGAACAAGCCAAAGAAAAAACUUCAGCAGAAUUAAAGGACUUAAAAGAUAAAAAAGAUGCAGCGGUAACAAAAGUUAAGGACGUUGCAGAUCAAGCCGCAGCUGACACGAAACAUGCAAAGGAUAAAAUUUUUGAAGAAGUUUCCAAAGAUGCACAAAAAGUUGCUGAUGCUAAAAAAGCAACCGGUGAAAAAGUGACAACAGAAAUAAAAAAAGUUGAAGAAAAAAUAGAAGAAACCGCGAAAGAUAUUGCACAAGAUGCCAAGGAUACUAAAGAUGCAGCAACUAAAGAAGUUAAAGAAGGUAUAAAAUUAGUGAAAGGAAAACUGGCAGAAGAUGCUGAAGCAGCUGCAGAAGCGGCGGACGGUGCAAAGGACAAAGCAACAAAAGAAGCGAAGAAAGUUAAGGAAAAAACAACAGGUUUCUUUUCUGGCAUUUUUAAAGGUGCAAAACACGCUACUGAGGAUGUAUCUCAUGAUGUUAAAGAAUUUUUAGAUGAAACAAGAAGAGAAGCUUCUUUAGAAAAAGAACGUGUUAAAGAAGAUACUGCGGCAGGUCUUAAAGAUUUGAAAGAUAAGAAGGAUGCAGUGGUAACUGAAAUAAAAGACGUUGCAGUUCAAGCUGCAGCUGAUACUAAACAUGCCAAGGAUAAAACAUUUUCUGCUAUUAAAGAUCAAAAGGAUAAAUUUGUUGAUGAAGUUUCUAAAGAUACGCAAAAAAUUGCCGAUGCUACGAAAGCAGCCGCCGAGAAAAUGACAACGGAAACAAAGAAAGUCGGAGAAAACAUAGAAGAAACCGCGAAAGAUAUUGCACAAGCUGCCAAAGAUACUACAGACGCAGCAACUAAAGAUGUAAAAGAAGAUACAAAAUUAUUAGAAGUAAAAUUGGCGGCAGGUGUUGAAGCUGCUGCAGAAACGACAGACAGUGCAAAGGACAAAGCAACAAAAGAAGCGAAAAAAGCUAAAGAAAAAACAACUGGUUUCUUUAGCAGCAUUUUUAAAGGUGCAAAACACGCCGUAGAAGAUGCAGCUGACGAUGUUAAAGAGUUUAUUGAUGAAACAAAGAAAGAAGCUCAGUUAGAAGAAGAACAAGCUAAAGAAAAAAUUUCUGCGGAAUUAAAGGACUUAAAAGAUAAAAAAGAUGCAGCGGUAACAAAAGUAAGGGACGCUGUAGAUCAAGCCGCAACUGACACGAAACAUGCAAAAGAUAAAGUUGUUGAAGAAGUUUCCAAAGAUGCACAAAAAGUUGCUGAUGCUAAAAAAGCAACCAGUGAGGAAGUGACAACAGAAAUGAAGAAAGUUGGAGAAAAAAUAGAAGAAGCCGCAAAAGAUAUUGCAAAAGAUGUCAAAGAUACUAAAGAUGCAGCAACUAAAGAAGUAAAAGAAGGUACAAAAUUAGUGAAAGAAAAACUAGCAGAAGGUGCUGAAGCAACUGCAGAAGCGGCGGACAGUGCAAAGGACAAAGCAACAAAAGAAGCGAAGAAAGCUAAGGAAAAAACAACAGGUUUCUUCUCCGGCAUUUUUAAAGGUGCAAAACACGCUGUAGAAGAUGCAACUGACGACGUUAAAGGAUUUAUAGACGAGACAAAGAAAGAAGCUCAAUUAGAAGAAGAACAAGCCAAAGAAAAAAUUUCAGCAGAAUUAAAGGACUUAAAAGAUAAAAAAGAUGCAGCGGUAACAAAAGUUAAGGACGUUGCAGAUCAAGCCGCAGCUGACACGAAACAUGCAAAGGAUAAAAUUUUAGAAGAAGUUUCCAAAGAUGCACAAAAAGUUGCUGAUGCUAAAAAAGCAACCGGUGAAAAAGUGACAACAGAAAUAAAAAAAGUUGGAGAAAAAAUAGAAGAAACCGCGAAAGAUAUUGCACAAGAUGCCAAGGAUACUAAAGAUGCAGCAACUAAAGAAGUUAAAGAAGGUACAAAAUUAGUGAAAGGAAAACUGACAGAAGGUGCUGAAGCAGCUGCAGAAGCGGCGGACGGUGCAAAGGACAAAGCAACAAAAGAAGCGAAGAAAGUUAAGGAAAAAACAACAGGUUUCUUUUCUGGCAUUUUUAAAGGUGCAAAACACACUACUGAGGAUGUAUCUCAUGAUGUUAAAGAAUUUUUAGAUGAAACAAGAAGAGAAGCUUCUUUAGAAAAAGAACGUGUUAAAGAAGAUACUGCGGCAGGUCUUAAAAAUUUGAAAGAUAAGAAGGAUGCAGUGGUAACUGAAAUAAAAGACGUUGCAGUUCAAGCUGCAGCUGAUACUAAACAUGCCAAGGAUAAAACAUUUUCUGCUAUUAAAGAUCAAAAGGAUAAAUUUGUUGAUGAAGUUUCUAAAGAUACGCAAAAAAUUGCCGAUGCUACGAAAGCAGCCGCCGAGAAAAUGACAACGGAAACAAAGAAGGUCGGAGAAAACAUAGAAGAAACCGCGAAAGAUAUUGCACAAGCUGCCAAAGAUACUACAGACGCAGCAACUAAAGAUGUAAAGGAAGAUACAAAAUUAUUAGAAGUAAAAUUGGCGGCAGGUGUUGAAGCUGCUGCAGAAACGACAGACAGUGCAAAGGACAAAGCAACAAAAGUAGCGAAAAAAGCUAAAGAAAAAACAACUGGUUUCUUUAGCAGCAUUUUUAAAGGUGCAAAACACGCCGUAGAAGAUGCAGCUGACGAUGUUAAAGAGUUUAUUGAUGAAACAAAGAAAGAAGCUCAGUUAGAAGAAGAACAAGCUAAAGAAAAAAUUUCUGCGGAAUUAAAGGACUUAAAAGAUAAAAAAGAUGCAGCGGUAACAAAAGUAAGGGACGCUGUAGAUCAAGCCGCAACUGACACGAAACAUGCAAAGGAUAAAAUUGUUGAAGAAGUUUCCAAAGAUGCACAAAAAGUUGCUGAUGCUAAAAAAGCAACCAGUGAGGAAGUGACAACAGAAAUGAAGAAAGUUGGAGAAAAAAUAGAAGAAGCCGCAAAAGAUAUUGCAAAAGAUGUCAAGGAUACUAAAGAUGCAGCAACUAAAGAAGUAAAAGAAGGUACAAAAUUAGUGAAAGAAAAACUAGCAGAAGGUGCUGAAGCAACUGCAGAAGCGGCGGACGGUGCAAAGGACAAAGCAACAAAAGAAGCGAAGAAAGCUAAGGAAAAAACAACAGGUUUCUUCUCCGGCAUUUUUAAAGGUGCAAAACACGCUGUAGAAGAUGCAACUGACGACGUUAAAGGAUUUAUAGACGAGACAAAGAAAGAAGCUCAAUUAGAAGAAGAACGAGCCAAAGAAAAAAUUUCAGCAGAAUUAAAGGACUUAAAAGAUAAAAAAGAUGCAGCGGUAACAAAAGUUAAGGACGUUGCAGAUCAAGCCGCAGCUGACACGAAACAUGCAAAGGGUAAAAUUUUUGAAGAAGUUUCCAAAGAUGCACAAAAAGUUGCUGAUGCUAAAAAAGCAACCGGUAAAAAAGUGACAACAGAAAUAAAAAAAGUUGGAGAAAAAAUAGAAGAAACCGCGAAAGAUAUUGCACAAGAUGCCAAGGAUACUAAAGAUGCAGCAGCUAAAGAAGUAAAAGAAGGUACAAAAUUAGUGAAAGAAAAACUAGCAGAAGGUGCUGAAGCAACUGCAGAAGCGGCGGACAGUGCAAAAGACAAAGCAACAAAAGAAGCGAAGAAAGCUAAGGAAAAAACAACAGGUUUCUUCUCCGGCAUUUUUAAAGGUGCAAAACACGCUACUGAGGAUGUAUCUCAUGAUGUUAAAGAAUUUUUAGAUGAAACAAGAAGAGAAGCUUCUUUAGAAAAAGAACGUGUUAAAGAAGACGCCGCGGCAGGUCUUAAAGAUUUAAAAGAUAAGAAGGAUGCAGUGGUAACGGAAAUAAAAGACGCUGUAGAUCAAACUGCAGCUGAUACGAAACAUGCCAAGGAUAAAACAAUUUUUGCUAUUAAAGAUCAAAAGGAUAAACUUGUUGAAGAAGUUUCUAAAGAUGCGCAAAGAAUUGCCGAUGCUACGAAAGCAGGCGCCGAGAAAGUGACAACGGAAACAAAGAUGGUCGGAGAAAACAUAGAAGAAACCGCGAAAGAUAUUGCACAAGUUGCCAAAGAUACUACAGAUGCAGCAGCUAAAGAUGUAAAGGAAGGUACAAAAUUAUUAGAAGAAAAAUUGGCGGCAGGUGUUGAAGCUGCUGCAGAAGCGACAGACAGUGCAAAGGACAAAGCAACAAAAGAAGCGAAAAAAGCUAAAGAGAAAACAAGUGGUUUCUUUAGUAGUAUUUUUAAAGGCUCAAAACACACCGUAGAAGAUGCAGCUGACGAUGUUAAAGGAUUUAUUGAUGAGACAAAGAAGGAAACUCAGUUAGAAGAAGAACAAGCUAAAGAUAAAAUUUCUGCGGAAUUAAAGAACUUAACAGAUAAAAAAGAUGCAGCAGUAACAAAAGUGAAGGACGUUGCAGAUCAAGCCGCAGCUGACACAAAACAUGGGAAGGAUGAAAUUGUUGGAGAAGUUUCUAAAGGUGCUCAAAAAGUUGCUGAGGUUACAAAAACAGCCGGGGAGAAAGUGACAACAAAAACAAAGGAGGUCGGAGAGAAAAUAGAAGAAACCGCGAAAGAUAUUGCACAAACUGCCAAGGACGCAAAAGAUGCAGCAAUUGAAGAAGUAAAAGAAGAUACAAAAAUGGUAAAAGAAAAAUUGGAAUCAGGUGCUAAAGCGGCUGUGGAAGCUGUGGACAGUACAAAAGACAAAGCGACGAAUGAAGCGAAGAAAGCUAAAGAAAAAUCAACUGGUUUCUUUACUGGCAUUUUUAAAGGUGCAAAACACGUCGUAGAAAAUGCAACUGACGAUGUUAAAGAAUUUAUGGACGAAACAAAAAAAGAAGCUGAAAUGGAAGAAGAACGAGCCAAAGAAAGAAUUUCUGCUGACCUCAAAGCUCUAAAGGAUAAAAAAGAUACAAUCGCAACAAAAGUAAAAGACGUUGCAGAUAAAGCUGCAGCUGAUGCGAAACAUGUGAAGGAUGAUGCAAUUUCUACUGUUAAAGAUCAAAAGGAUAAAGUUGUCGAUGUUACGAAAGCAGCCGCUGAAAAAGUGACAAGAGACACAAAAGAGAUUAGUGAAAAAAUACAAGAAACCGCAACAGAUUUUGCACAAGCUGCUAAAGAUUCUAAAGAUGCAGCUGCUAAAGAAGUAAACGAAGAUACAGAAUUAGUAAAAGAAACAUUGACAGCAAGUGCUGAAGCGGCUGCGGAAGCUGCGGAUAGUGCGAAGGAAAAAGUGUCAAAAGAAACGAAAAAAGCUAAAGAGAAAACAUCGGGUUUCUUCUCCGGCAUCUUUAAAGGUGCAAAACACGCCGCUGAGGAUACAUCUCAUGAUGUCAAAGAAUUUUUGGAUAAAACAAGAAGAGAAGCUUCUUUAGAAAAAGAACGUGUUAAAGAAGAUACCACGGCAGGUCUUAAAGAUUUACAAGAUAAGAAGGAUGCAGUGGUAACUGAAACAAACGCCGCUGCAGAUCAUGUCGCAUCUGAUAUGAAACGUGCUAAGGAUAAAACAAUUUUUGCUAUUAAAGAUGAAAAGGAUAAAGCUAUUGAGGAAGUUUUCAAAGACACGCAAAGAGUUGCCGAUGCUGCUAAAGCAGCCGAUAAGAAAUUGACAAAAGAAACAAAGAAAAUUGAAGAAAAAAUUGGAGCAACUGCAACAGAUAUUGCACAAGCAACCAAGGAUACUAAAGACGCAACAGCUAAAGAAGUAAAGGAAGAUACAAAAUUAAUAAAAGAAAAAUUGACAGCAAGUGCUGAAGCGGUUACGGAAGCUGCGGAUAGUGCGAAGGAAAAAGCGACGAAAGAAGCAAAGAAAACUAAAGAAAAAGCAUCACGUUUUUUCUCCGGAAUUUUCAAAGGUGCAAAACACAGCGUAGAAGAUGCAGCUGAAGAUGUUAAAGAAUUUAUUGACGAGAGAAAGAAAGAAGGUCAGUUAGAAGAAGAACAAGCCAGAGAAGAAAUUUCUGCGGAACUAAAGGAAUUAAAAGAUAAAAAAGAUGCAACGGUAACAAAAGUAAAGGACGCUACAGAUCAAGCCGCAGCUGACACGAAACAUGCAAAGGAUAAAGUUGUUGAAGAAGUUUCCAAAGAUGCGCAGAAAGUUACUGAGACUACGAAAGCAGCCGUUGAUAAAGUGACAACAGAAACAAAGAAAGUUGGAGAAAAAAUAGAUAAAGCCGCGACAGAUAUUGCACAAGCUGCCAAGGAUACUAAAGAUGCAGCAGCUGAAGAAAUUAAGGAAGAUUCACAAUUAGUAAAAGAAAAAUUAGCAGCAGGUGUUGAAGCAGCUGUGGAAACGGCGGACAGUGCGAAGGAUAAAACGUUAAAAGAAACGAAGAAAGCUAAAGAAAAAGCAACUGGUUUCUUUUCUGGCAUUUUUAAAGGUGCAAAACACGCUUCUGACGAUGCAUCUCACGAUGUCAAGGAAUUUUUGGAUGAGACGAGAAGAGAAGCUUCUUUAGAGAAAGACCGUGUUAAGGAUGAUGUUACCGCAGGUCUUGAACAUUUAAAAGAUGAAAAGGAUGCAGUUAUAACUGAUGUUCAAAAAACUAUGGGGCAAGCUAUUGCUGACGUAAAAGAUGCAAAGGAUAAAACAAUUUCUGCAGUCAAAGACAAAAAGGAUGAAAUUGGGGAAGAAAUUUCGAAAGAAACUAAAAAAUUUGUAGAUACUACGAAAGCAGCCGGUGAAAAAAUUGCACUGGAAACAAAGAAAGUUGAAGAGAAUAUAGGAGAAACGGUCACAGAUAUUGCGAAAGAUAUUAAAGAUACUAAAGAUGAAGCCAUAAGAGAGGCAAAAGAAGAUACAAAAAAAGUAAAAGAAAAAUUGGCGACAGGUAUUGAUGCAGCUACGGAAACUUUAGAUAGCACAAAGAAAAAAGCAUCGAAAGAUGCGAAGAAAGUUAAAGAAAGAGCAAGUGGGUUUUUCUCCGGCAUUUUCAAGGGAGCCAGACACGCCGCUGACGAAGCAGCUGACGAUGUUAAAGAAUUUGUGGAUGAGACGAAAAAAGAAGCUGUGUUGGAAGAAGGGCGUGCUAAGGAAAAAGUUGGUGCAGAUUUAAAAGAUUUGAAGGACAAAAAAGACACAGCCGUUACUGAAGUUCAAGAAGCUAUAGAUAAAACUGGUGAUAAAGCAAAAAUUGUAAAAGAUAAAACGGUUUCUACACUAAAAGACAAGAAGGAUAAAGUUGUCGAGGAAAUUUCGAAAGAUAUGCAAAAAGUUGUGGAUGUUACAAAAGCAGCCGGUGAGAAAGUGACAACAGAAACAAAAAAGGUCGAAGAAAAAAUAGAAGAAACCGCAAAAGAUAUUACGCAAGAUGGCAAGGAUACUAAAGAUGCAGCAACUAAAGAAGUAAAAGAAAGUACAAAAUUGGUGAAAGAAAAACUAGCAGAAGGUGCUGAAGCAGCUGCAGAAGCGGCGGACAGUGCAAAGGAUAAAGCAACAAAAGAAGCGAAGAAAGCUAAGGAAAAAACAACAGGUUUCUUCUCCGGCAUUUUUAAAGGUGCAAAACACGCAGUAGAAGAUGCAACCGACAAUGUUAAAGAAUUUAUGGACGAGACAAAGAAAGAAGCUCAGUUAGAAGAAGAACAAGUCAAGAAAAAAAUAUCAGCGGAGCUCAACGAUGUAAAAGAUAAAAGAGAUGCAGUAGUAACAAAAGUAAAAGACGCUGCAGAUCAAGCCACAGUUGAUAUAAAACAUGCGAAAGAUGAAGCAACUUCUGCUGUUCAAGAUCAAAAGGAUAACGUUGUUGAAAAAGUUUCCAUAAAUGAACAAAAAGUUGCUGAUGCUACAAAAGCAGCCGCUGAGAAAAUGACAACGGAAACAAAGAAGGCCGCAGAAGAAAUAGAAAAAACCAUGAUAGAUACUGCAAAAGCGGCCAAAGGCACUAAAGAUGCAGCAACUAAAGAAGUAAAGGAAGAUAAAAUAUUAAUAAAAGAAAAACUGACAGCAGGUACUGAAGCAGCUGCAGAAGUGGCAGACAGCACAAAGGACAAAGCAACAAAAGAAGCGAAGAAAACUAAAGAAAAAACAACAGGUAUUUUCUCUGGCAUUUUUAAAGCUGCAAAACAUGCCGUAGAAGAUGCAACUGAUGACGUUAAAGGAUUUAUAGACGAAACAAAGAAAGAAGCUCAAUUAGAAGAAGAACAAGCCAAAGAAAAAAUUUCAGCAGAAUUAAAGGACUUAAAAGAUAAAAAAGAUGCAGCGGUAACAAAAGUAAAGGACGUUGCAGAUCAAGCCGCAACUGACACGAAACAUGCAAAGGAUAAAAUUGUUGAAGAAGUUUCCAAAGAUGCACAAAAAGUUGCUGAUGCUAAAAAAGCAACCGGUGAGAAAAUGACAACAGAAAUAAAGAAAGUUGAAGAAAAAAUAGAAGAAACUGCAAAAGAUAUUGCACAAGAUGCCAAGGAUACUAAAGAUGCAGCAACAAAAGAAGUAAAAGAAGGUACAAAAUUGGUUAAAGAAAAACUGAUAGAAGGUGCUGAAACAGCUGGAGAAGCAGCGGACAGUGCAAAGGACAAAGCAAUCAAAGAAACGAAGAAAGCUAAAGAAAAAACAACAGGUUUCUUCUCCGGCAUUUUUAAAGGUGCGAAACACGCUACUGAGGAUGUAUCUCAUGAUGUUAAAGAAUUUUUAGAUGAAACAAGAAGAGAAGCUUCUUUAGAAAAAGAACGUGUUAAAGAAGACGCUGCGGCAGGUCUUAAAGAUUUAAAGGAUAAGAAGGAUGCAGUGGUUACUGAAAUAAAAGACGCUGUAGGUCAAGCUGCAGCUGACACGAAACAUGCCAAGGAUAAAACAAUUUCUGCUGUUAAAGAUCAAAAGGAUAAAAUUGUUGAAGAAGUUUCCAAAGAUGCACAAAAAGUCGCCGGUGCUUCGAAAGCAGCCACUGAGAAAGUGACAACAGAAACAAAGAUGAUCGGAGAAAAAAUAUUAGAAGCCGCAACAGAUAUUACACAAGCUGGCAAGGAUGCUAAAGAUACUACAGUUACAGAAAUAAAGGAUGACGCUAAAUUAGUGAAGGAAAAAUUGGCGGUAGGUGUUGAAGCGGCUGCAAAAGCUGCGGAGAGUGCAAAGGAUAAAGCAACGAAGGAAACGAAGAAAGCCAAAGAGAAAACAACUGGUUUCUUUUCUGGCAUUUUUAAAGGUGCAAAACACGCUGCUGACGAUGCAUCUCACGAUGUCAAGGAAUUUUUGGAUGAGACGAGAAGAGAAGCUUCUUUAGAGAAAGACCGUGUUAAGGAUGAUGUUACCGCAGGUCUUGAACAUUUAAAAGUUGAGAAGGAUGCAGCCGUAACCGGAGUUGAAGGAGCUAUUGGCCAAGCUAUUGCUGACGUGAAAGAUACAAAGGAUAAAACAGUUUUAGCAGUCAAAGAUAAAAAGGAUGAAAUUGGAGAAGAUGUUUCAAAGAAAACUCAAAAAAUUAUUGAUGCUACCAAAGCAGCUGAUGAGAAAAUUUCAAUGGAAACGAAAAAAGUUGAAGAGAAAAUAGAAGAAACAGUUGCAGAUAUUACAGACAGCAUCAAAGACACUAAAGAUAAAGCGAUUGAAGGAGCAAAAGAAGAUAAGAAAAAAAUAAAAGAAAAGUUAGCAACACGUAUUGAUGCUGCUGCAGAAACUGUAGACAGUACAAAGAAAAAAGCAAUGAAGGAAGCAAAAAAAGCUAAAGAAAGAACAAGUGUGUUUCUCUCUGGCAUCUUUAAAGGAUCUAAACACUCCGUUGACGAAGCCGCUGACGAUGUUAAAGAUUUUACGGACGAGUUAAAGAAAGGAGCUCGAGUGGAAGAAGAAGAAGCUAAAGAAAAGAUUUUUGUGGAUUAUGAAGAUUUAAAAGAUAAAAAGGAUGCAGUAGUAACAAAAGAAGACGCCACAGAUCAAGUCGUAGCUGAUACGAAAAAUGCAAAAGAUAAAGCAAUUUCUACUCUUAAAGAUCAGAAGGAUAAAAUUGUUGAAGAAGUUUCCAAAGAUGUACAAAAAGUUGUUGAUGCUACAAAAGCAGUUGGUGAAAAAAUGACAACAGAAACAAAGAAAGUCGGAGAAAAAAUAGAAGAAACCGCGAAAGAUAUUGAACAAGCUGCCAAGGAGGCUAAAGAUGUAGCAACUAAAGAAGUAAAGGAAGGUACGAAAGUGACAAAAGAAAAAUUAACAGCAGCUGUUGAAGCAGUUGGGGAAGCUGCAGACAGUGCAAAAGAAAAAGCGACGAAAGAAACAAAGAAAACUAAAGAAAAAACAACUGGUUUUUUUUCCGGAAUCUUUAAAGGUGCAAAGCACGCCGUAGAAGAUGCAGCUGACGAUGUUAAAGAAUUUAUGGACGAAACCAAGAAAGAAGCUCAAUUAGAAGAAGAACGAGCCAAAGAAAAGAUUUCUACGGAUUAUGAAGAUUUAAAAGAUAAAAAGCAUGCAAUUGUAACAAAAGUAAAGGACGCUGUAGAUCAAGCUGCAGCUGAUACAAAGCGUGCAAAGGAUAAAACAAUUUCUGCUGUUAAAGAUCAAAAAGAUAUGGUCGUGGAAGAAAUUUCCAAAGAUACGCAAAAAGUUGCCGAUACUACGAAAGCAGCCGCUGAGAAAGUGACAACGGAAACAAAGAAGGUCGGAGAAAAAAUUAAAGAAACUGCGACAGAUAUUGCACAAGCUGCCAAGGAUACAAAAGACGCAGCGGCUAAAGAAGUUAAAGAAGAUGCACAAUUAGUGAAAGAAAAAUUGGCAGCAGGUGUUGAAGCAGCUGCGGAAAUGGCGGGCAGUGCGAAGGAUAAAACGUCAAAAGAAACAAAGAAAGCUAAAGAAAAAACAACUGGUUUCUUUUCCGGCAUUUUUAAAGGUGCAAAACACGCCGCUGACGAUGCAUCUCAUGAUGUUAAGGAAUUUUUGGAUGAGGCGAAAAGAGAAGCUUCUUUAGAAAAAGAACGUGUUAAAGAAGAUGCUGCGGCAGGUCUUAAAAGUUUAAAAGAUGAAAAGGAUGCAGUAGUAACAAAAGUAAAAGACGCUGCAGAUCAAGUUGCAGCUGAUACGAAACAUGCCAAGGAUGAAGCAAUUUCUGCUAUUAAAGAUCAAAAGGAUAAAGUUGUUAAAGAAGUUUCCAAAGAUGCGCAAAAAGUUGGCGAUGCUACGAAAGUAGCCACUGAGAAAGUGACAACGGAAACAAAGAAGGUCGCAGAAAAAAUAGGAGAAGCCGCGACAGAUAUUGCACAAAUUGCCAAGGAUACUAAAGACGCAGCAGCUAAAGAAGUAAAGGAAGAUACAAAAUUAAUAAAAGAAAAAGUGGCAACAGGUGCUGAAGCGGCUGCGGAAGCUGCGGACAGUACAAAAGACAAAGUGACGAAGGAAGCAAAAAAAGCUAAAGAGAAAACAACUGGUUUCUUCUCCGGUAUCUUUAAAGGUGCAAAACACGCUGCUGAAGAAGCAUCUGAUGAUGUCAAGGAAUUUUUGGAUGAUACGAGAAGAGAAGCUUCUUUAGAAAAAGAACGCGUUAAAGAAGAAGUUGCUGUAGGACUCAAAGAUCUGAAAGAUGAGAAAGAUGUAGUUUUAACCGGAGUUCAAGAAGCUGUUGACCAAACUAUUGGUGACGUGAAAAAUGCAAAAGAAAGAGCUAUUUCUGUUGCUAAAGAUAAGAAAGACAAAAUUGUAGAAGUAGUUUCAAAGGAUACACAAGAAAAUAUUGAUAUUACAAAAGCAGCUGGUGAAAAAGUAACGUUGGAAGUGGAAAAGAUCGAUGAGAAGAUAGAAGAAACUGCAGCGGAUGUUGCAAAAGCUGUCAAAGACACUAAAGUUACAGUAACUAAAGAAGUGAAAAAGGAUGCAAAGAAAUUAAAAGAGCAAUUGAUAGCAAGUGCUGACACUGCCGCGGAAGUUAUGGAUCAUGCAAAAGAUAAAGCAAAAGAAACAAAGAAAACUAAGGAGAAAACAGGUCGCUUUUUUUCUGGAAUAUUUAAAAGUGCAAAACAUUCUGUAGAAGAUGCAUCUGACGAUGUUAAACAAUUUUUGGAUGAAACAAAGAGAGAAGCAUCUGUUGAAAAAGAACUUAUUAAGGAAGAAAUUAUUGCUGAUCUCAAGGAUUUAAAAUAUAAGGAAGACGCUGUCUUAACUGAAGUUGAACAAGUCGCAGAUCAAACUAUCAUUGAUGUAAAAGGUGAUAAGGAUAGAACCAUUUCAGCUGCGAACGAUAAGAUAGAUAAAAUUAUUGAUAAAGUUUCCAGAGAUACACGGAAAGUUGUUGACACUACAAAAACAGCCGUUGAGAAAGCAGCAACAGAAACAAAGGAAGUCGGUGAAAAGAUAGAAGAAUCCGCGACAGAUGUUGCACAAGCUGUGAAAGACACUAAAGAUGCAGCAGUUGAUGAAAUAAAGGAAGAUGUAAAUUUAGUGAAAAAAAAAUUAACAAUAGGUACUGAUGCGACUACAGAAGCUGUUGAUAGUGCAAAGAAUAAAGUAGCAAAAGAAGCAAAAAAAUCUAAAGAGAAAACAAGUGGUUUCUUUUCUGGGAUAUUUAAAGGCGCGAAACAUGUUGUAGAAGAUACUACUGACGACGUUAAAGAAUUUUUAGAUGAAACAAAACAUGAGGCAGAAUUGGAAGAAGCUCGUGCUAAGAAAGCAGCAGCGGCUGGAUUGAAAGAUAUUGAACAUAAAAAAGAUACUGUCGUUACUGGUGUAAAAGAAACAACUGAUCGAGCUGUCACUGGAAUAAAAGACGCCAAAGACAAGACUAUUGCCGCAGCAAAAGAUACAAAAGAUCAAAUCACAGAAAAAGUUUUUGAAGAUAUUAACAAAGGUGCUGAUGCGGCCAAGACUACUAAAGAUAAAGUAACUUUAGAAAUGAAAGAAAUUAGUGAAAAAAUAGAUUUGACAGCGCAGAAUGUUGCACAAAAGGUCUCGGACACCAAAGAUGCGGUUGUUAAACAAAUGCAUGAUGAUACUAAAAAGGUUAAAGAGAAAUUGGCAGCAGGAGUCGAAGCCGUGGCCGACAGUGCUGAAAUCUCUAAGACUAAAACAACUAAAGAAGCAAAAAAAGCUAAAGAAAAAGGAUCUGGCUUUUUAUCCGGCAUAUUUAAAAGUGCAAAGCACGCCGCAGGUGAUGCCACUGACGAUGUCAAAGAAUUUUUUGAUGAGACUGAGAAGGAAAUUUUAUUAGAACAAAAACAUGCUAAAGAGAAAUCUACAGCUACUUUCAAGGACUUGAAGGACAAAGAAGACGCUGCAGUUACCAAAGUUCAAGAAGUUAUAGAUAGAACUAUCACUGAUGUGAAAGAUGCAAAGGAAAAAAUUAUUGAUGACAUUUCCAAAGAUACCCAAAAGAUUAUUGAUAUCACGAAAGCAACUGGCGAGAAAGCUGUAACAGAAACAAAGAAGAUUGAUGAAAAGGUAGAAGCAACCACGGUUAUACAAGAUGUUAAAGACGCGAAAGAUGCAGUGACUAAAGAACUGAAAGAUAAUGCAAAAUUAGUAAAAGAAAAGUUAACAACUAGUAUCGAUGCUGUAGCCGAUAGUGCUGAAACUACUAAAGAUAAAGCCGCGAAAAGUGCAAAAAAAGCUAAAGAAAAAGGAUCUGGUUUUCUGUCAGGUAUAUUUAAAGGCGCCAAGCAUUCCGUUGAAGGCGCUGUAGAUGACGUCAAAGAAUUUUUAAUUGAAACAAAACGCGAGGCAGAACUAGAAGAAAUUCACGCUAAAGAAGCAGCAACAACUGAAUUGAAAGAACUAGAACAUAAAAAGGAUGCUAUUGUUACUGAUAUAAAAGAUACAACUGAUCGGGCUAUCGCUGAAAUAAAAGAUACCAAAGACAAAACUAUCACUGCAGCGAAAGAUACGAAGGAUAAAGUCACAGAGAAAGUUUUUGAAGAUAUUAACAAAGGCGCUGAUAUGGUUAAGGCUACCAAAGAUAAAGUAACUUCAGAAAUAAAAGAAAUUGGAGAAAAAAUGGAUUUGACAGCGCGAGAAGUUGCACAAGAAGUUGCAGAUACCAAAGAUGCAGUUGUCAAGGAAGUACAGGAUGAUACGAAAAAAGUGAAAGAGAAAUUAGUAACGAGACCUGAAGCCGUGAUCGAUAAUGCUGAAGCAGCUAAGAAUAAAGCAACUAAAGAAACGAAGAAAGCUAAAGAAAAGGGAUCUCGUUUUCUUUCGGGAAUAGUUAAAGGCGCAAAACACGCUGUUGAUAGCACAAGGGACGAUAUCAAAGAAUUUCUGGAUGAAACAAAGCACGAAGCAAAAUUAGAAGAAGCUCGUGCUAAAGAAACUGCUGCUAGUGAUUUGAAGAAACUAGAACACGAUAAAAGCGUCAGUAGUAUAAAAGGCACUACGAAAAAAAUAGUAGCUGAUGUCAAAGACGCGAGAACUAAAAUUUCCGAGACAGCGGCCAAAACGACGAUUGCAGUUGAUAAGCUACCGACUAAAACGAAGAAAGUAAGUGAGAAAAUAGAAACUACAGAUAUGGCUCAUGAUAUAAGAAAAAAUCUUCCUGAAGAAAUAAAAGAGGAUACAAAGACGGUGAAGGAUAAAUUACUCAUGAGUGCUUCUAUCACGCAUGGUACCAAAACGGCUAAAGACGAGCUUAUGAAAGACUCCAAAGAAACGAAGGAUACGGGUUUGGAUUUCCUUUCUGAUGUUAUUCAGGACACAAAACAGACAGGAAAGGAAAUUUCCGAUGACGUGAAAGACUUUUUGGAAGUAAUCAGGCAGGAAGCAGCUUCUGAUGAAGCACUUGCUAGAGAAGCCGCAGCGGCAAGACAGAAAGAACUCGAACAAACGAAGGAUAAAAUCGCAGAUGAAAUUAAAACUGCUACUAGUAAGGCGGUGAAAGAUGUGAAAGACGCUAAGCAUAAGGAUCUUUCCAGUAUAAAAGGUGCGAAAAAUAAAACAAUUUCCACUGUAAAAGCAGCGGGAAGUAAAAUAGGACAAAGUGUGUCGCAAGCUGGUGAGAAAAUUAAGUCUACUGGUCAAGAUAUGACGCAGAAGACUAAACGCACUAAAGAUGCCGUCGUAAGCGAAACAAAGGAAGACGCACGAGUAGUUAAAGGAAAACUGGCAACAGGUACAGGUACAAUCGCCAGUGCGACGGAAACCGCUAAAACCAAAACCGUAAAAGAAGUUAAAAAGGUCAAACAAAAAGCAGGUGGUUUUAUAUCAGGUGUAGUAAAGAGUGCUAAACACGCAGUAGAAGACGCAACGGAUGAUAUGAAGGACUUUUUAGAAGAAACGAAACAGGAGGCAACCGCAGAGGAAGCUCGCGCCAAGAGCGAUCUUGCUCAAGCGAAAGAUAAAUCUACCAAGUCAACUGACGCGAAAGAAAAAUCUGUCGGCGUCGUCAAAACUGCAAGAAAAAGUCCCCCAAAAGUGACAAAACCACUAACGGAUGUGAAAGGCGCGGGUAAAGCUUCACCCAUCACUAAGAGAAUGAGCAAAGAAAUGCCAACGUCAGAAACGAGAAGAGGUGAUAAAGUAGGAUCGAAACGCACAAGCUCAGAGAGUGCUCAUGAGGUAGUUGGUCGUAGUUGGGAGGAUAGUCUUCGUAGGUCUGAUGUAGUUAGCAAACCGGCGACGUCCGGUGGCGUCGAGCAUUUAACCCAGACAGUUAGCGUUAAGAAAGUAUCUCGCAUUCCACAAAAGAUUAGUUCGGGUAAAGAGUCGAUCGCGGACGAUUCAGACACUUCGCGUAGAGUAGUAGAGAGUACAGUAACUACGAUAGGGCACCCCGAGCCUCGCACACGGCAAUCCGUCACCACAAUCGUGACAAAGUCUGUGCGAACGACCCCACCGCCACCCAGUUCACUCGCCGAGUUCACUGACAGUAGAACCGAAGACGUGACCAAAGAGGCUACGCGACGGGCACAAAACCUGGCGGACCAGGCGUACACCUCGACAAAAACAGGCAAUAGGAUAGAACCGAAGACUAGGAUGAAGACAUCCGGUAGAGCCAGCUGCGCGCGUUGGAUGAGCAUAGCUGUCGCUGUGCUGGUACUUCUAAUAGCGCUUAUACUUGCCCUGGAGCCACAAAUAUUUCGCCGUGUCAUCUACACUCUGUCUAAUAAUGUCCCGAGGCAAGCCGGAAUCUGACUUUUUGCAACAUAGCGAGCCAUCCUUCAUGGAAACGACAACGAUCGAGGUGGAUCCUGUUACUCAGGAAAGCAUAACAACGACUACGCGAACAGAAACGAGGACGAUAUCGUCUACUGGAGCCGGUGGCACAGAUGAUUUG
rnacentral:misc_RNA from 1 species